AGGGUAGUGGCGCAAUUGGUAGCGCAUCGGUCUCCAAAACCGGCGGUUGGGGGUUCGAGUCCCUCCUACCCUGCCA
rnacentral:tRNA from 1 species